CAGGUUAUAACCUCAUCAAAUGAACCGUUGAGCAAGGCAGCAGCACUUUCAGGAACAACUCCGAUUGCAAUCCAGUCAAGUAGCUUGAGGGUUGAGGGAGUGAUAUCAGUGCUAUAGAUGAAAUUGAUUUUAUAUUGAUGACUGGUAGGCCUGAAGGUAACACCGGGGUUAGUGAUGGAGAAAUUUUCGAUGUAUCUCCACAUUCCAACAGGUAUGGAGCACCUUAACUUGAACACGCCACUCGGACUUGUAUGGUCUGAUGUCAGCCAAAUUAGUGAGUUCCAUGGUUAAAGGUAUUUCUUGUAGCGAUUAACUUUGCUGAAAGGUUUUAGGAAGCGUGUGUUGAGUUUAGACUGUAUGAAUGGUAUUUAUAAGAGAAGAAGGCGAUGUAAAGUCUAUUAGUUAUCAGAAUUUAUUUAUUUUUUAGUUUAAUUAUUUGUUACAGAAGAUGGUUGCAUA